AGUGAACGCUGGCGGUAGGCCUAACACAUGCAAGUCGAACGGCAGCACAGUAAGAGCUUGCUCUUACGGGUGGCGAGUGGCGGACGGGUGAGGAAUACAUCGGAAUCUACUUUUUCGUGGGGGAUAACGUAGGGAAACUUACGCUAAUACCGCAUACGACCUACGGGUGAAAGCAGGGGAUCUUCGGACCUUGCGCGAUUGAAUGAGCCGAUGUCGGAUUAGCUAGUUGGCGGGGUAAAGGCCCACCAAGGCGACGAUCCGUAGCUGGCCUGAGAGGAUGAUCCGCCACACUGGCACUGAGACACGGUCCAGACUCCUACGGGAGGCAGCAGUGGGGAAUAUUGGACAAUGGGCGCAAGCCUGAUCCAGCCAUACCGCGUGGGUGAAGAAGGCCUUCGGGUUGUAAAGCCCUUUUGUUGGGAAAGAAAAGCAGCAGGUUAAUACCCCGCUGUUCUGACGGUACCCAAAGAAUAAGCACCGGCUAACUUCGUG
rnacentral:rRNA from 1 species